ACGCUGGCGGCAGGCCUAACACAUGCAAGUCGAGCGGCAGCACGGGUACUUGUACCUGGUGGCGAGCGGCGGACGGGUGAGUAAUGCCUAGGAAUCUGCCUGGUAGUGGGGGAUAACGCUCGGAAACGGACGCUAAUACCGCAUACGUCCUACGGGAGAAAGCAGGGGACCUUCGGGCCUUGCGCUAUCAGAUGAGCCUAGGUCGGAUUAGCUAGUUGGUGAGGUAAUGGCUCACCAAGGCGACGAUCCGUAACUGGUCUGAGAGGAUGAUCAGUCACACUGGAACUGAGACACGGUCCAGACUCCUACGGGAGGCAGCAGUGGGGAAUAUUGGACAAUGGGCGAAAGCCUGAUACAGCCAUGCCGCGUGUGUGAAGAAGGUCUUCGGAUUGUAAAGCACUUUAAGUUGGGAGGAAGGGCAGUUACCUAAUACGUAUCUGUUUUGACGUUACCGACAGAAUAAGCACCGGCUAACUCUGUGCCAGCAGCCGCGGUAAUACAGAGGGUGCAAGCGUUAAUCGGAAUUACUGGGCGUAAAGCGCGCGUAGGUGGUUUGUUAAGUUGGAUGUGAAAUCCCCGGGCUCAACCUGGGAACUGCAUUCAAAACUGACAAGCUAGAGUAUGGUAGAGGGUGGUGGAAUUUCCUGUGUAGCGGUGAAAUGCGUAGAUAUAGGAAGGAACACCAGUGGCGCAGGCGACCACCUGGACUGAUACUGACACUGAGGUGCGAAAGCGUGGGGAGCAAAC
rnacentral:rRNA from 1 species